UACAGAGGUGGCAAGCGUUGUUCGGAAUUACUGGGCGUAAAGGGCGCGUAGGCGGCCUUCUAAGUCGGACGUGAAAUCCCCAGGCUUAACUUGGGAACUGCGUCCGAUACUGGAGGGCUUGAGUGCGGGAGAGGGAUGUGGAAUUCCAGGUGUAGCGGUGAAAUGCGUAGAUAUCUGGAGGAACACCGGUGGCGAAGGCGACAUCCUGGACCGGUAUUGACGCUGAGGCGCGAAAGCCAGGGGAGCAAACGGG
rnacentral:rRNA from 1 species